rnacentral:rRNA from 1 species
GUGGGGGAUAUUGCACAAUGGGCGAAAGCCUGAUGCAGCGACGCCGCGUGAAGGAUGAAGUAUUUCGGUAUGUAAACUUCUAUCAGCAGGGAAGAAAAUGACGGUACCUGACUAAGAAGCCCUGGCUAAAUACGUGCCAGCAGCCGCGGUAAUACGUAUGGGGCAAGCGUUAUCCGGAUUUACUGGGCGUAAAGGGAGCGUAGGCGGCAUGGCAAGUUGGGUGUGAAAUACUGAGGCUUAACCUCGGGGCUGCACCCAAAACUGUCAAGCUAGAGUGUCGGAGAGGUAAGCGGAAUUCCUGGUGUAGUGGUGAAAUGCGUAGAUAUUAGGAGGAACAUCGGUGGCGAAGGCGGCUUACUGGACGAUAACUGACGCUGAGGCUCGAAAGCGUGGGGAGCAAACAGGAUUAGAUACCCUAGUAGUCC